rnacentral:rRNA from 1 species
CCUACGGGAGGCAGCAGUGAGGAGUUUUCUGCAAUGGGCGAAAGCCUGACAGAGCAAUACCGCGUGAAGGAUGAAGGCCUACGGGUUGUAAACUUCUUUUCUCAAGGAGGAAGAUCUGACGUUACUUGAGGAAUAAGCAUCGGCUAACCCUGUGCCAGCAGCCGCGGUAAUACAGGGGAUGCAAGUGUUAUCCGGAAUUAUUGGGCGUAAAGCGUCUGCAGGUUGAUAUCUAAGUCUUUGUUAAAUCUCCAGGCUUAACCUGGAAUCUGCAAAGGAAACUAUUUAUCUUGAGUAUGGUAGGGUAAAGGGAAUUUCCAGUGGAGCGGUGAAAUGCGUAGAUAUUGGAAAGAACACCAACAGCGAAGGCACUUUACUGGGCCAGUACUGACACUCAGAGACGAAAGCUAGGGGAGCAAACGGGAUUAGAUACCCCGGUAGUCCUAGCUGUAAACGAUGGAUACUAGAUGUUGUGGAUUUCGGUCUGCAGUGUCGUAGCUAACGCGUUAAGUAUCCCGCCUGGGAAGUUNGCUCGACAAGAGUAGAAACUCAAAAGUAGUAAGUCGACGACGAGAGACGACGACGACGACGACGACGAGGGAGGAG